rnacentral:rRNA from 1 species
AUCAGCUGCCGCGUGUGUGAAGAAGGCCUUCGGGUUGUAAAGCACUUUUGUCCGGAAAGAAGCACUCCUAAUAUGGCCGGGGGAUGACGGUACCGGAAGAAAAACACCGGCUAACUACGUGCCAGCAGCCGCGGUAAUACGUAGGGUGCAAGCGUUAAUCGGAAUUACUGGGCGUUUAGCAUGCGAAGGCGGUUUGCUAAGACCGAUGUGAAAUCCCCGGGCUCAACCUGGGAACUGCAUUGGUGACUGGCAGGCUAGAGUAUGGCGAGGGGGGUAGAAUUCCACGUGUAGCAGUGAAAUGCGUAGAGAUGUGGAGGAAUACCGAU